GACGAACGCUGGCGGCGCGCUUAACACAUGCAAGUCGAGCGAGAACCAGACCUUCGGGUCUGGGGAAAGCGGCGAACGGGUGAGUAACACGUGGGUAACCCACCCUUGGUACUGGGAUAGCCCGGGGAAACCCGGAUUAAUACCGGAUGGCCCAACAGCUCUUCGGGGCGGUUGGAAAAGGUAGCUUCGGCCUCCGACCAAGGACGGGCCCGCGGCGGAUUAGCUUGUUGGUGGGGUAACGGCCCACCAAGGCGACGAUCCGUAGCUGGUCUGAGAGGACGAUCAGCCACACUGGGACUGAGACACGGCCCAGACUCCUACGGGAGGCAGCAGUGGGGAAUCUUGCGCAAUGGGCGAAAGCCUGACGCAGCGACGCCGCGUGGGGGAAGAAGGCUUUCGGGUUGUAAACCCCUUUCAGGAGAG
rnacentral:rRNA from 1 species